rnacentral:rRNA from 1 species
AGUACGACCGCAAGGUUAAAACUCAAAUGAAUUGACGGGGACCCGCACAAGUAGUGGAGCAUGUGGUUUAAUUCGAAGAUACGCGCAGAACCUUACCAACACUUGACAUGUUCGUCGCGACUCUAAGAGAUUAGAGUUUUCGGUUCGGCCGGACGAAACACAGGUGCUGCAUGGCUGUCGUCAGCUCGUGUCGUGAGAUGUUGGGUUAAGUCCCGCAACGAGCGCAACCCUCACUUUUAGUUGCCAUCAUUAAGUUGGGCACUCUGAAAGAACUGCCAGUGAUAAGCUGGAGGAAGGUGGGGAUGACGUCAAGUCCUCAUGGCCCUUACGUGUUGGGCUACACACGUGCUACAAUGGCAUCUACAACAGGAAGCAAAACGGCAACGUUAAGCAAAUCCCGAAAAGAUGCCUCAGUUCGGUUUGCACUCUGCAACUCGAGUGCAUGAAGCUGGAAUUACUAGUAAUCGUGGAUCAGCGUGCCACGGUGAAUGCGUUCCCGGGUCUUGUACACACCGCCCGUCACACCAUGGGAGUUGGUUCUACCUUAAGGCAAGGUUUCAAACCCUUGACCACGGUAUAGUCAGCGACUGGGGUGAAGUCGUAACAAGGUAACC